rnacentral:lncRNA from 1 species
UAGGACAGUUUCAUUAUCUGCAUGAACUGGUGAUGUGGGCAUUGCUGUAGAAGAGAAAGCAAGCAAAGGGUUUUCAAGCUGCAUCCCCUGCCUGUGUGACACAGAUGGACAUUGCCAGCAGAAAUGGUUCACGAGAGGAAGAGGAUUUCCGUUCAUCUUUCCAACUGAAGUUGAGGUCCUAUGAGUGCAUGGACAUUGGAAGCCAUAUGUGUUUGGAUGUUGACCAUGGAGAUGAACCACAGGCUCACCCCUGAGCCACCAGAGAGAGAAAUAUGUAUGGCUGACUACUUGCUAACCUUACAUCAGGAUAUACAAUCUGUUUACACACAUUUAACAUGGCUGAACACCUUGCCACACCCAUUCACCAGGCACCAGUGCUUGUGUUUUGCUGAAGCUGAGAUACUUGCAGGAUGGAUGUGUGUGUGUGUGU